rnacentral:rRNA from 1 species
AACGAACGCUGGCGGCAGGCUUAACACAUGCAAGUCGAACGCUCGUAGCAAUACGGGAGUGGCAGACGGGUGAGUAACGCGUGGGAACAUACCCUUUGGUUCGGAAUAACUGAGAGAAAUUUCAGCUAAUACCGGAUGUGCCCUUCGGGGGAAAGAUUUAUCGCCAAAGGAUUGGCCCGCGUCUGAUUAGCUAGUUGGUGAGGUAACGGCUCACCAAGGCGACGAUCAGUAGCUGGUCUGAGAGGAUGAUUAGCCACACUGGGACUGAGACACGGCCCAGACUCCUACGGGAGGCAGCAGUGGGGAAUAUUGGACAAUGGGGGCAACCCUGAUCCAGCCAUGCCGCGUGAGUGAUGAAGGCCUUAGGGUUGUAAAGCUCUUUCGUCAGGGAAGAUAAUGACGGUACCUGAAGAAGAAGCCCCGGCUAACUUCGUGCCAGCAGCCGCGGUAAGAC